UUAAAGUUUGUAAGUUUAAAACUAGUUUAGAGUUUACGCAAAGAGAGAUGAGCAACAGGUACAUAACUCAGCAUAUUAUCAUGCCAAAGGAAAAUAUGCACAACUAAGGUAACGCCAAACAAAACAACCACAGUGGCACAUUCCAAGCUCAGUUUGGUGUUGCAGCAAAAAUUACAUUAAGAAUAUAGAAAUAGCACUCACAGUUCAAUCACAGCAGCAUUCACAGUUCAGACAUUGCAGCAUUCAAUCCAGAAAAAUCCAAAAUACUCAGCCAGUCAACAACAAUAUUCAAACCAGAAAACAGAAGUCAGCUAACCUAAAGCCUCCUAGUGACUCGAACAAAAAUCCAGAACAGAAUUGAAAGCAAGUAAAAUAAGGCAGUAAAAAGGGAACAGGGCAGGGAGCUUGGGGGUAGAACCUGCGUUGCAGAAGAAGAAUGGGGGAAGAAAGGUGAAGGCGAGGCGGAGAGGGGUGCAGCGGCACAGAGGUCCGCCGCUGCUGAUGAAAGAUUGG